UACGAAGGGUGCAAGCGUUAAUCGGAAUUACUGGGCGUAAAGCGCGCGUAGGCGGUUUGAUAAGUGAGAUGUGAAAUCCCCGGGCUCAACCUGGGAACUGCAUCUCAUACUGUCAGGCUAGAGUACAGUAGAGGGGGGUAGAAUUCCACGUGUAGCGGUGAAAUGCAUAGAGAUGUGGAGGAAUACCAGUGGCGAAGGCGGCCCCCUGGAUCGAUACUGACGCUGAGGUGCGAAAGCGUGGGGAGCAAACAGG
rnacentral:rRNA from 1 species